UACAGAGGUGGCAAGCGAUGUUCGGAAUCAUUGGGCGUAAAGGGUCCGUAGGCGGCCCGGAAAGUCGGAUGUGAAAGCCCACGGCUUAACCGUGGAAUUGCAUUCGAAACUUCCGGGCUAGAGUGCGAGAGGGGUAGAGGGAAUUCCCGGUGUAAGGGUGAAAUCUGCAGAGAUCGGGAGGAACACCAGUCGCGAAGGCGCUCUACUGGCUCGUGUCUGACGCUGAGGGACGAAAGCUAGGGUAGCAAACGGG
rnacentral:misc_RNA from 1 species